rnacentral:misc_RNA from 1 species
UCAUCCAUUGCUAGCUUCAAG